AUUGAACGCUGGCGGCAGGCCUAACACAUGCAAGUCGAGCGGUAGAGAGAAGCUUGCUUCUCUUGAGAGCGGCGGACGGGUGAGUAAUGCCUAGGAAUCUGCCUGGUAGCGGGGGAUAACGCUCGGAAACGGACGCUAAUACCGCAUACGUCCUACGGGAGAAAGCAGGGGACCUUCGGGCCUUGCGCUAUCAGAUGAGC
rnacentral:rRNA from 1 species